GAUGAACGCUGGCGGCGUGCUUAACACAUGCAAGUCGAACGGAAAGGCCCAAGCUUGCUUGGGUACUCGAGUGGCGAACGGGUGAGUAACACGUGGGUGAUCUGCCCUGCACUUCGGGAUAAGCCUGGGAAACCGGGUCUAAUACCGGAUAGGACCACUUCUUGGAUGUUGUGGUGGAAAGUUUUUUCGGUGUGGGAUGAGCUCGCGGCCUAUCAGCUUGUUGGUGGGGUAAUGGCCUACCAAGGCGUCGACGGGUAGCCGGCCUGAGAGGGUGUACGGCCACAUUGGGACUGAGAUACGGCCCAGACUCCUACGGGAGGCAGCAGUGGGGAAUAUUGCACAAUGGGCGCAAGCCUGAUGCAGCGACGCCGCGUGGGGGAUGACGGCCUUCGGGUUGUAAACUCCUUUCGCUAGGGACGAAGCGUUUUGUGACGGUACCUGGAGAAGAAGCACCGGCUAACUACGUG
rnacentral:rRNA from 1 species